UACAGAAUUACAGGCCAAUGGGAUUAAGCAAAAUUCCAGUAUUUGAUCCUCAUUUCAUGUUUUUCCAUUCUACUCAACCUCCACAUUUACAUGAAUUCUGUCAAACAGAUCAAGCUUUUAAGGGAAUUGCCUUCAGAUUAAAGACAUAAAGCAGCGGACUUCUGUACAAUGUGCAAAGAUUAUGCCAAUUAUUAAGAAUGAGCAUUUACUUUUAAGCGCCCUCCUCAUAGCUAAAUCAUUGGCAUUGGAGGUAUCAUUGCUGAGGUGACGAUAGUGAAGCAAAUGUAUCAUUUGAGAAAGCAACAGAUGAUAGUGAAGCAAGUUCUAAAUGGUUAUCUAAGGAUGAUGACGAUCAAGGUGACAAGGUUGCUGCCUUCCCUGUUUUGAAUGAAUUCAUGUCUGACUCUGACAAAUUCUUGUUUAUUUUGCUUUGAAUAUUUUGUAUUAUUAGUGGAUUGUAAUUUAAAAGAAUAUAAGUCCGAGUUUAGUUAUUUAUUUUGUCUUGAGUCUUUAUGUUAUAGGAUUAUUUAUUAUUUUGAUAAAUUUGUAAACUCAUUAUGUAA